UACGUUCCCGGGCUUGUACACACCGCCCGUCACACCACGAAAGUCGGCAAUACCCGAAGCCGGUGGCCUAACCCGUAAGGGAGGGAGCCGUCGAAGGUAGGGUUGAUGAUUGGGGUG
rnacentral:rRNA from 1 species